GUAGGGUGCGAGCGUUAAUCGGAAUUACUGGGCGUAAAGCGUGCGCAGGCGGUUCGUUAAGUUUGUCGUGAAAGCCCCGGGCUCAACCUGGGAAUGGCGAUGAGAACUGGCGAGCUGGAGUGUGGCAGAGGGGGGUGGAAUUCCAGGUGUAGCAGUGAAAUGCGUAGAGAUCUGGAGGAACACCGAUGGCGAAGGCAGCCCCCUGGGCUGACACUGACGCUCAGGCACGAAAGCGUGGGGAGCAAACAGGAUUAGAUACCCUGGUAGUCCACGCCCUAAACGAUGGCAACUGGGUGUUGGGGGAGCGAUUCCUCAGUACCGUAGCUAACGCGUGAAGUUGCCCGCCUGGGGAGUACGGCCGCUAGGCUA
rnacentral:rRNA from 1 species